rnacentral:rRNA from 1 species
CCUACGGGUGGCAGCAGUAGGGAAUAUUGCUCAAUGGGGGAAACCCUGAAGCAGGAACGCCGCGUGGAGGAUGAAGGUUUUCGGAUUGUAAACUCCUUUUGUUAGAGAAGAGAAUGACGGUAUCUAACGAAUAAGCACCGGCUAACUCCGUUCCAGCAGCCGCGGUAAUACGGAGGGUGCAAGCGUUACUCGGAAGCACUGGGCGUAAAGGGCGCGUAGGCGGGAUAGCAAGUCAGAUGUGAAAUCCUAUGGCUUAACCAUAGAACUGCAUUUGAAACUGUUAGUCUAGAGUAUGGGAGAGGUAGGUGGAAUUCUUGGUGGAGAGGUGAAAUCCGUAGAGAUCAGGAGGAAUACUCAUUGCGAAGGCGACCUGCUAGAACAUAACUGACGCUGAUGCGCGAAAGCGUGGGGAGCAAACAGGAUUAGAUACCCCGGUAGUC